rnacentral:sRNA from 1 species
UUGUGUUAGCGAUAGCAGUGGUAUCCUUAUUUGUAAUGUGAAGCUUUGUGAAGCUUCACAUUACAAAUAAGAUUUAACGAAUAGCGCGACCGCUU